rnacentral:misc_RNA from 1 species
UCUUGGAUAUAUCUAUCGACUAUCUUUACUAGUUUGUAAGUCUCUGCGUGCCUUUGGUCUACUUGAUUUGCUCCUUCUCUCUGUUCGUUUCUGCCUUUGUGUGCCUCUCUUCUCUUUUUUGUUCCUUCUUGAAUUUCCCCUUAUCGAUUUUUAUUUGGAGCUAGCUGGAGGAUCUGUCUGUCUCCAAGUAGAUUAGAACCUAUUCCCUUGCUCUCCACUUCCUUCCGACUUGAUCCGGCCAGUCUUAAGCUAUUUCUGAAGAAUGGGACGCAAGAAGAAGAAGCAAAGUAAGCCCUGGUGCUGGUACUGCAACCGUGAAUUUGAUGACGAAAAGAUUUUGAUCCAGCAUCAGAAGGCAAAGCAUUUCAAGUGUCAUAUUUGCCAUAAGAAGCUGUACACGGGGCCAGGCCUUUCAAUCCAUUGCAUGCAGGUGCACAAGGAAACGAUCGACAAAGUGCCCAACUCGCUGCCCAGCAGGAGCAACAUUGAAAUCGAAAUCUAUGGGAUGGAGGGCAUCCCGCCUGAGGAUAUCAAGGAUCACGACCGCCUCAAGUCAGGGGGAGAUAACGAGGACGAGGACGGACCUCUAUCCAAAAGACCCAAGUCGGACUCUCCUGCGGGGCAAGCAUCCCCCAGUGGAAAUGUGUUGCCAGGCAUGACCCCUGCUGGACUUCCCCUCAUCCCGGGUCUCCCUCAUCUCAGACCUCCUUUUCCAGUUGCUGGAAUGCCUCCAUGGAGCGUUCCCGGAGCAACUGGGCCUCCAGCCACUUAUAGCGGACCUCCUACUGGGCCCAAUGGAAUUCCUAAUGCUAUUUCCAGGCCCAUGUUUCCUUCUGCGGCUACGACUACAUCCGGGGGUUCUAAGACUACAUUUCCUGCCUACGGGUGCACGUCAAAUUCGGCAGAUAGGAAAGCACCUACUCUCACGACGACUACAGCAACCUCAAGAAUAGUUCAUCCUCCUGAAGACAUUUCCUUAGAAGAGCUGAGGGCGCGGCAUCCAAAGUAUGCCAUUAACACGCAAACACAACCUAAUGUAUCAUCAUCCAGUGUACCGGCCUCAGUCUCAGGAUCUAUUGGAGUCCCUUCAGUUUCUGCUCAACCCGGCAUUAAUUCUCCUUCACUAACGAACGCACCUGCCCUUGCAGCGGCAUCAGCAGCAGCGGCUGCACCUAUUCUACCACCUGUAAUAUCCGUCGCUGCUGCUAUGAAUGCUCCAGGGAUUCCACCUCCUGUAAUGAUGUCAAUGCCAUUAGGACAUCCAGUAAUUACUGCUUCUCCGAUGAUGGCUAUGGGUCAUAGGCCACCUGGCAUGAUCCCCGGAUUACAUGGGCCUGGUGGAAUCAUUCAACAUUCGCCAGUUAUGAUGGCCGCGGGUACUCCUAUGGUCAGAAAUCCUUUUGUACCAGGAAUGGGAGCGAAUCCUUUGACAAUGGCAGCCCCAAAUCAUCUGAUUCAAACACCAUUUGGAAUGUUAGGAGCUGCCACAGCGCCACGUUUCAGAUGACAGGGGGCGGAUCUGUUGGGAUUACAGCAGCAACAACAACAACAACAGCAACAACAACAGCAAGCUGUUGUCGCAGCCGCUUCUCUUAUGCAACUCAACACCUCAAAUACGUCUUCAACAAAUCCUAGUGCUGAGUCUCUAGUAAUGGGCGGUCAUCCUCGUGCUGUCCCUCUUACCAAUGGCUUACUUCAACAACAACAACAGCAAUUCUUGGCUGCUGCAACGCUCCAUCAACAACAUCAACAACAGUCCUCACAAUUUCAACAACAACAACAACAACAACAUCAACACCAACAGUCUCAACAUCAUCAUUCUCUUGUCAUGAAUCAUGCUCUAUUUCAGCCUGGAUUCAGUCUCGCAGCUGGUCUUGGUGGACACAAUCUUUCUGGAGGAAUCAAUCAUGCUGCUGCGGCGGCUGCGGCCUUUCAGCGCAAUCCUUCUAUUCUAGCUGCGGCUGCAGCAGCAGGCCAGGGACAAAACACAUUUGCUGGACACCCAACUCCUGGUGGGGGGUUUGUCGUCUUUCCUAGACUUCCAUAAUUCUCACUUCGAAGUUAUCUUCAGCACGCAUCCCUAACAUUACAUGAGUAAUAUAUUACCCUUACUUAUUAUUCAGGUGUGUCUGGGGGGUGUUGGUCCUCUGAAUACUUGUAACCGCUUUUUUGUUGUUUUUGUUUUGGAUAUGUAUUUUGUUGCUAUUACAACUGCGACUACUACUGUGACGUGUCCCAACAGAGUGGCUAAAAAUUCUCUUACUUUAGCCCAUCAUGUAGAAAAUAAAGAAAUAAUAGUAAUUUGCCCCCUUUUAAAAGUUACUUUAUACAUUUUUUUUUUCUUUUUUUUUCAAAUAUAACUUUUCAAAAAAUUACAUACAUAUAUAAUACCUACAAAAAUAUAUAUACGAUAUUAUAGAACAAAGAAACAAAUAAAUAAUUAAAUUACUAUCACAUCAUCCCUUUGUGUAAUUUGCUAGAAAAAUAUUAUAAUUUGUUACUUAUAAUUUUUGUGUCUUGUACAACUACAAAUAUCUAUGUGAAUAUUUGUUGUUCCCCCCCACCCCUUCUUUUUUCAAUGUUAUACUACUCUUUUAAUAAUGAUUUGAUUACGUUUUCAUCUUCUUUUUUUUCUCGGGUUAGGAUUUCAACGGUGUGUAAUCCCUGAAAAAUAAUGUAGAUUUUGAUCCAUUGAAAGAGUGAGAGGAGGAGGACCAUCGUUCCCCUCAUCAAGGCCUCGUAUAUCUCAUCAUUAUGAAAAUCUCCUCCAUCGUUAAUUGAUGCGGAUUUCUUGAGUCAUUGGUGUUGUCAAUGUUUCUUUUGUCCUUUUUUUUGUUUCAAUCAAAUCAAGUAGAAUAUAUAUAACAAAAAAGUACAUAAAUUCAUUCAGGUACCGUUUGAAUUGUAAAAAAAAAAAAAAAGGAAUACGUCAAUAUCGUGUUAUUACUUAUUUACUGUUAUUGAUUUUGCCUGCAUGACCUUUUCCUCUUCUUAAUUUAUUUCUUACUUUUUUUUUCUUUUUUUUUUGAACAAAUUAAAAAAAGUACGUUUUCGCUUGUUAAUGGAUAUUUAAUACGUACAUAGCAAGGUUAUUAUAAAUACAAGGUUAGAUCACCAUGUUAUCAGGCUUACUGGAAUUUUCAAUUUGAUGUACUGUACAGAUUGCUGGGCAAGACGCACAGAUUUUGACGUCAUUGAGUAUAGCAACUGUGUAUGAUUUAUAUAAAAAUUAUGAUUCAUAGUAACAGUAUAUACUCUUUGACGUCACGAUUAAAAAGCCUGCCUGGUGGAAGUCAAACAUCAGUUGGAAAAGUGUUUUGGUAUAACCUUGUAGUUCUAUUAAUCUUGGUACAUACCUUCCUUCCUACCUAGAUAAAUACAUACAAGGCUGGUCCGAAAAGUUUCUGACAUCAAUCUGAAGAUGGCUGCACUCGUAAAUAUAUACAAGUCACAUUUAUCAAGCAUCUGUUGAGUUUUUCACCUAUUUUGCACGUGCAGUGGUUAUGUUACAGUCGUUUGAGAUAGUUAAUGUGAAUGUUUUAAAAUCAAGUAUGUAGCUGUCAUUAAAUAUUUAUUUUUGAAAGUACAACCUUUAAGUAGAUUCAAACAAUAGCAGACAUAUAAAGGCAUGUUGUGGUAAAACGUUACGCGUCUAAGUCAAUCCAACUCUGAGUAAUUGUGCCAAAAACAGUGUCACGUGAGCAAUUAUUUUGCAACAAACGUCUAUUACUAUGUAUUUGGACGGGUUACAUAAGUCGGAGCAUUUUUGGGGGAAGUAUGUAGACUUACAAGGAGACCAUGCUGAAAAAUUAAAUGGAAAAACUCAGAAAAAUGUCUUAUAUCUUUGUUAGGUUGGAAACUUUUCAGACUCCCCUCGUACAUUCAUACAUAUUCCAUUAUUCAUAUGCAUAAUUUAGCAAAAAUAGAGUUACUGCUCCAGCGGUCUUAAUUGCAGACUUAUCUCCUUCUCUUGUGUUAGUAUGCCACAACUUAUUCUCGGAAAGUAGGAUUGAAUAUGUUAGCAAAAAAAGUUGUUUCUGCGCUAGGUGCAUGGGAAAAAUCAUCUUAAUUAUAUUCCCAUAAUAUUUCAUCGACUUCAUUUUGCAUUUGUCGUUAUACUUUAUCUUUUUCUCCGUUCUCCAAAUGCCAAUAGUGUCUACCGUGUGGCCUUCUGUUCUUUUUGUACGUACAUUGAUUAAAUAUCCACUUCAUCAGAAACAUCUCUUAUCCAACCAGAACUUGUGCGCCUACUAGAAUUCAGUAGUUGGUUCAAUUAAUUAUCCCUGUAUAUUUCUAUUUUAUAUAAUUUUUUAAUACUUUAUUACUAGUAGGUAGAUACUCAUGACCUAUAAUGAUGGUUGAUCAUAUCGUUGCUCCGCUAUCAUAUUUAUGUACCAAAUUGGGACUUCAGUCUGAUGAAAGUGCUCAUUUGCUAUUCAGACGUUCUCUUUUUAAUACUUCCUUCUCUUGAUUUUUCUUAAUUUAUGCUCCUCAUUACUGAAUCAAGUUUAGUUAUCAUAAUUAAAUAGUUUGUACUCAAAAGGAUUCUAGAUAUAUAGCUAACAAAUUCACUUACAAAAAAGUACAUAGUACUAUUGGCGUAUGUAUGAUUAUAAUAAAUGUUUAAAAAAAUAGUAAUAAAUGUCUUUCCUAAAAAAAUGCCAUCAAAAACAUCAGUCAGGCAAUAUCUUUUCUUGGGAUUUAAAAUACGUCACUAAAUCAUAACAUUUUGCUAAAGUAUAAUUAAAAAUAUAAAGGUAAUCUCGAAUUUGAGAAAAGGGCUCCAUGGGAUUCGAAAUUAUUUUCUUAAAUAAAAUAUUCGAAAUUUACUUUGUAAACAAAAACUAAAUUAAAUUCCAAUUUAAAAAAAAAACA